AUUUAAAUAGUUUAAGAUAAAAAAUUCUGAUUUGUGGUGUCAGAGAUGUAGAAGUACUUUAAAUA
rnacentral:tRNA from 1 species